rnacentral:rRNA from 1 species
AUUGAACGCUGGCGGCACGCCUAACACAUGCAAGUCGAGCGGCAGCGUGAUGAGUAGCAAUACUCAUUGACGGCGAGCGGCGGACGGGUGAGGAACACGUAGGAACCUGCCCUUUAGAGAGGGACAACCAAGGGAAACUUUGGCUAAUACCUUAUGCACUCGAGAGAGGAAAGCUGCCCUGAAAGGGGUGGCGCUAGAGGAGGGGCCUGCGUCCGAUUAGCAGUUGGUGUGGUAAAAGCUCACCAAGGCAAUGAUCGGUAACUGGUCUGAGAGGACGACCAGUCACACUGGGACUGAGACACGGCCCAGACUCCUACGGGAGGCAGCAGUGGGGAAUAUUGGACAAUGGGGGCAACCCUGAUCCAGCGAUGCCGCGUGGGUGAAGAAGGCCU